GGGUGUGGGCGGGUCAGUUCGGAUAAGUCUUCCAAACUGAUGGUGCGGGUUCGAUUCCCGUCAUCCCCUCCA
rnacentral:tRNA from 1 species